GGCCAUUGAGCAUCUGCAAAUAGCAAUCACCAAUUUCCUUCAAUUGUUUAAAUGGGAUAACAAUUUUUAAAUAUCUCACCUGCAAGAUGUGUGGCGGCCCUCGCGGGGCCGCGUCCCCGGGAAAACUGACAACCCGUGGAGAUAUUGUAUUGACGUGGAACGACAGUGACCGACACCAUGAUGAGCAAACUCCUCAUCGAGACACUCCAGCUCUAUUUCACCCUUCUUGCCCCUCGUCGAACGACAAUUUGUACUUGCGCAAUGCUGUUUGAAAUUUUUUUUUGCGGACCCGCGCCACCCCCUCCACUCGCCAUUCUCUUCUUCAUCGACUGCGGGGACGUCGAUCGCUGGUUGAAUACCUAGGGAAUUCGGUCAUUCAACCUAUAAAUAGUUCAUCAGUGGAACAGAGGUUUCCUGACUUGCGAAAAAAUGAAAAGGUCAUCUCCUAGAAAGAUCAACGAGUCUUCUGAACCC